AUGUGUAUCCCGAAGAAGAAUGGGGGUAUGGGGUUCCGUGAUCCCCAUGCUUUCAAUUUGGCAAUGUUAGCAAAACAAGCAUGGAGGUUAAUCACAAACCCCAAUACUUUGUGUGCGAGAGUACUGAAAGCUAAGUACUUUCCCAAUGGAGAUUUAUUGCCAGCAGGUCCAAAAAAGGGUUCCUCCUUUACUUGGUAGAGUAUUGUUGUAGGGAUACAAACUUUUAAAAGAGGUCAUAUUUGGAGAGUCGGCACUGGGGAGAACAUUAAAAUAUGGGAGGAUCAUUGGAUCCCCUCAAGUCCAUCGAGGAAAGUCAUAACACCAAGGAAUAAUAUUGUUCUAAGUAAUGUUGAUCAACUUAUCAACCCUAUCACCGGCAGAUCGGAUGAGGAGUUGAUUUUGGAUAUUUUCAGUCCGGUCGACUCAGUAAGAAUCUUGCAAAUCCCUGUUAUACCUAGUACAGUUGAUGAUUUUGUAGCUUGGCAGAUGACAAGAAAUGGAGCUUUCUUAGUUCAGCCUGCGUAUUAUACUGAAUGGAACCAUCAAUUUAGCGAUAAGAUAUGCAGGCUGGAUGAUCAGAGUGGAUCAAGUCUGAACCCUGUUUGGGAGGUGGUGUGGAAAUUGCAAAUUCCUAGUAAAGUAAAAAAAAUCUUGUGGCGCGCACUUUAUGGUACAAUUCCAGGGCUGUCCGUUCUUGCAAAUCGCCACAUAAAAACCACAAGUCAGUGUCCUAUCUAUCGGAGGGGUGCGGAAGAUAUUCAACAUCUAAUGUUCACUUGCAAACGUGCAAAGGAAGUGUGGAAAUCACUCGGUUUAUUUGAAAUGAUAACUUCAACGUUGCGGCUUGAUAAGUCAGGCUCUGAAAAUCUUGCACAAAUUUUGACUGAUCCAAGUAAUCGGUAUCUGGCAUUUGGUCAAAUUGGUUUGAAGGAAAUUAUUGCUGUAGGUGCGUGGUACAUUUGGUGGCAGAGAAGAGAGGCUGUAAAAGGAGUGAAAGUUGCCCCGGCCAUGAAUACAACAUUUGCAAUAUAG
rnacentral:rRNA from 1 species